GGCUGAAAUGGACAUAUUAGGUCAUAUGAAUAAAACCGAGUACUUGCUCAUGCUCAACCCGAUUUAAGCAAAGUAAAGUCUCUGAGCAUUUACUCAAAACCGUAUGAAUAAAACGAUACUUUGCUCAGAGUAAGUUCGAAUUUCGAACUUAGCUUUUACUCUGUCAAAAAUGUUGUUUUUGUUUUUUCCAACUUAGUUUUGCGAGGAAGAAGAUCUCCAGUGGUGCAAAUAUUAGUGUUUUUGCGGAUCUUUACCUUUUGCUGCCCGGGGAAACUCCACCGGGAAGAAACUGAGACCAUCCUGCGACACCCACAAGGACUACUAACGGGACCUGUGAAGAUAGCCCAAGUAAGAUGAUGCUGCGGAGAACACGCAUGACGGCCCGGUCCGUAACGGUGACUAUGCUGUCCUUCGGAACUGGUGCCCAGGAAGAAACAUAGGCGCACCAAACGACAGCACACACUGGACAGAUCAAACUGGCGAAAAUUCUCGCGGUCAAUUUGGCUACCAUGAAUAGGUUCAACAUGCCACAUGCGACCGGAUUGGCACGCGGUGAAAAUGGCCCGAGUAUCAGCGGCACCGUAUUUAAACUCUCCAGUGCGAUGAGCAAAAAUAUUGCAAAACAGUGGCACAAACGGCCGUCGCAGGCUGCUGAAACAAGUAAAUAAAUUUCAGUACAAAACU